UGACGAGGUACUUAGCCCAAAAGUUGGUACAUCACAAAAAAAAUUGGUACGUGACCAGAAACGGUUACAUCAGUUCUAGUUCCGAUCACAUCCAACCUGAACCACGUGAGCAGCCUCAAACAGUUGUGACCUCACCGAUUGCUACAUCAUCACAAUCUCAAACAGAACCAGAAGCCAUGCCAGAGGGUUCCAUGCAACCUCGAAAGACUCGUGGUCAGACACGUUUGGAAGAUUUGUGGAAUUUCCCCAAAGAUUACCGAGUCAUUGUCGAAUUGAAUGAAGAUGGGAAACCAAUUGGUGAUGCAGCAAGCACUUUCACUCACUUUAUCGGAACCAUGGUGAGGAUGUCGUGUAUGACACCCAUCAACUAGAUAUCUUGGUACAAUAUGCCAGAUGCACACAAGGAAGCAAUGAGAAAAGUUGUUGAGUCUAAAUUUGUUUUUCUGCCAUCCUGUGCUGAAAAGACUAAAAAGCUAAUAAACUAUGAGAUGUCUACUAAGUGGAGGCAGUGGAAGAAUGAAAUUAAGUCUAGAGGUUAUGAUGCCGACACUUCUGUAGAAGAAAUAAAGGCCUACGUUCCAGAUUCCCGUGUAGAUAAAGAUCAAUGGGGUCGUUUAGUUGAUUACUGAAACUCCGACAAAGGAAAGAGAAUUAGCAAGAUAAACAAGGAAAAUCGGGCAAAACUAGACGAGCCUCACUGCAUGGGAACAAAAUCGUUUCCAAGGUCCAUUGAGGAGGAGACCCAAGCAAAUAAUGGGGUGCGAAGAGGACCAGAAAAGAAGGGAAGAGUCCAUUGCCCGGGAAAGCAUCCCUCUUCUUCCAAAACAUCUAAUGCUCCAUCUCAGUCUAUGGAUCAUGACGAAUUAGUUGUAGGGCUAACAGAAAAAGUUAGAGUGCUAGAGUCUUUGCUUGUAGCCCUAUGGAGCAAGAUGCAAAGAAGGUCCAUUGAGGAGGAGACCCAAGCAAAUGAUGGGGUACAAAGAAGACCAGAAAAGAAGGGAAGAGUCCGUUGCCCGGGAAAGUAUACCUCUUCUUCCAAAACAUCUAAUGCUCCAUCUCAGUCAAUGGACCAUAGCGAAUUAGUUGUAUGGCUAACAGAAAAAGUUAGAUUGCUAGAGUCUGUGAUUGCACCCCUAUGGAGCAAGGUGCAAAGAUAUGAGGGGCAGUAAACCGCUUCAUCAAUCUUGAGGUGGCAAUUGUGGGUGGAAAAUUUUUGCUUUAUCCAUUGGUUCAUUGAUAUUUUCUCCAGUUUAUUUUCAUUUAAGGCACCAAAGAUUCUCAGAGGCAAUUCAACUCUUGCUACCGCAUUUGUUGCAUUAAUUUGGUGUGUUUUGUUCAUCGAGCACAAGGUCUCUUUGUACUGCUCCUAUCUCAUGCUUUAUGCUGUCAUACUGCUCUCUGCAGUUUUUUGGUGGCUUCAUUUCGCGGCCCUGUGUGGAAAAAAGGAGUUACUUGAUUGUGAAUGGAGUGUGAGGAUGGAUCUGACUUGUCCAAUCUCAACCUGGUGGUGGAUUCAAUUAAAUUCUUCCUGUGUAUGAAAAUUGUCCUAAUACCUCGAAUUCAGGGAAAAGAUUUUCUGACACAAUUGGAAAUGUUUCAUUUCCGCCAUGGCAUGCUAAUAUUGCAUCUUCUUGCUGCUUUCAUGUUCUUUCCAUCACUUGUGGCUUGUUUACAGAGAAUUGGGAUGGGUGAAAGCUUUCCAUGGUUCAUAGACUCUGCUCUUUGCAUUGGUGUCAUUCUACAUGGGCUUUGUGGCUCAAAGCCUGGAGUGAACUCCCUUUCAUUCCCAUUCCUUCAUUUGUUUGGUCCGGACAUUGGUCUGAGCUUUGUGUAUCUGCUCGCUGGGUAUUAUUGCUACAUUUCUGGCCUUGAGUUGGCUCCUUACAGAGCAUUUUAUGCCAUGGCUGCUGUUGGUGUGRUUCUUUUUGCUUUGAGGGUCAUUGAGAGGAAGGGCUUUUCCUCAGAUAGCUAUUUUGGCAACCGAAAGCACUCUCACAAACAUUGAGGAAGCUUUCCUUCAGAUAGCUAUGCACACUGAAGAACAGAAGUGGGUAAACAUUCUCUUGUACAUGUUUUUGUCAAGUUAUUUGCUGAUACAGUAACGGGAACAAUGGACAUGGCCUGGUUUCCAGCGGUUUUGCGGCUCAGAUUUGUCCUUGACACAAUUUAGAUUUUAGACUCUUGUUUAUUGAUGAGGGAAAUGGGAAGCAGAAAAGCUGUUUAAUUGUUUUAAUCAGUUUGGUGAAUCUCUAUAACAAUUGCCGAACAAAUUAAUCAAAUGUUGUAUAAAGUACUAAAUGCUGAGCAGCUGGACUUUUGAUUGAUUCCUUAAAGCUCAUUUGACCUUGAUUCAUCUGAACUUGCCCAUUGGCACUGGAUCAUGGAUGGUUURCUGGCUGGAACAAGGUGGAUCUAGCUAGUGCAACAAUGUAGCCUAAAACUAAAAGCUACGGAAGAAGUUCGUGGACCUGCCUGUUCCUCUGAUACUCUCUUGUUAUCAUCUUGGUAUACUCUCUUGUUAUACAUUAAUAUACGAUGCUUGAUGUGAGGAUUACCUGUGACUGAGAA